CUUCCAUCAUAUCUGAUCUUGUGAUGUUUGGAGUUUAUUUGAUCAAUGAUCCUGUGAAAAAACUUACCAGUCUAAUUCUUUUUGAGGGCAUUUCAGCAACAAACGAAGAUGCACGUUUUCCCCCAGAAUUUGACUUCCUGGACACCACUGUCUCUCCAAUUAUAACACUGUUUAUACCAGUUCUAUAGGAAUUGUCGCUGAUCCUGGAAAAAGGAAACCAGUGUACUAGUAUGCUCC